UUUAUUAAAUAGUCCUGAGUACAAUGCAAAAUAAUUGCCAAAAUAUUUCUUUCUGUUGAGAAUGUGGUGAAAGUCACAGAAUGUAGUUUUAGUCUCUGGUUGGGAUAGACUGACAGAAAGUCAUUGUAUCAGUUGAGGUGUUCGUACAGAUACUCCCCGGCCAGCUGCAGCAGCUCUUUGGGCAGUAAGUAUGAAGCCUGGGUAAAUAAACAUGUUUUCCAUCUGUCCAGCUCUCCCCUAUAACAUCUCCUUCACUUCCUCUCUAUGUUUUGCUUUCUCUCUGCCUCAUGUUUUCUCUCCCUCUGAUCAGAGAGUC